rnacentral:lncRNA from 1 species
AAUUGACACAAAUGACCUUAUUUCAGUCUUCUGCACUGGAUGGAUGUGGAAAUGGCCUUUACCAAGCUUUCGCUUUUUCACAGGGCCUUUGCAGUGUCUCAGUCAUGUCCAGUGCUCUUGCCAGAGUCUCAGUGGGGCUCAGAUACUUCCCUAAGGACACACUGGAUUCAGGGUUAUGCCGUGGUCUCUGUAACUCUCAGCACUUUCCCCAGAUUCUCAUUUGAGUUUAGUGUUAUUCCCAGGGUCACAUUAUUUCUUGGGGCUUCUCCAGCAUUUUACUGAAUCUCAGGCCAUUUCCUAGGGUCCUAGUGCCUCUGAAAAUUCUUGCUGAGUCUCAUGUAAGGGUUGUGACUGUGGAAAUGUAGAAGACAGAAAAUUUGUCUGGUGAGCAAACUCCCAGAGAAUACUAGGUGUCUUAUUUUUCACAGUGGGAACAUUCUGCAGUUUCUCUUAGAAACUAUUAAGAUAACUAAUGCAUGCUUGGCCAGAACUCCUAUCUGAUCAUUAACAAGAACAUCGUACCUUAUAACCUAAUGUAUCUGACUUAGUGAUAUAAUGAACAAUAAUGUACUAAUGGUGCAGUGAGCUACUGUAACCUAAUGGUAUAAAUAAAGACAGCUGCUUAGACAACAGCCAUUUCGCAUUUGCAUCUUGCUUUCAUUUUCAUUUGUUUUCUUACUGCUGACGCCCAAUGUGGUGUCUGAAUAUCUGAAACAGGGACCCUUCUGGAUGUGUUAAUGGGGGAAGGGAGUAGCUUAUCACCUGGAGCAGGCUGAUGCAUG